UGUUGUGGUGGGGGCGGUCGCCAUGGCUACCGAGACGCUAGGCCCGAGGCUGUGAGCAGGCGAGGCGACACGUUCGCGUUUAACAUCGAGAGGAGAGAGACAGAAGAGAGAGAGUUAAUAGAGAGUUAAGAGAGAUAGUUGAGAGACAAUGCCUCGCUUGAAGAGUUUGCUGGACGCUGGGCGCCCAGCGGCUCCGUGGAAGGAAAGGGAGCGGAGGGGUCAGAGGGAAGGCGUCCGGCACCUCGUGGUGUCACCCCUGGGAGACUCCUACACGGGAGAGUGGCACGCUGAUCGCAGGCACGGGCGAGGCACCCAGGUGUGGGCCCAGCAGGGCCUCGUCUACGACGGGGAGUGGCGUAACGGGCGACGCUGCGGCUUCGGAACGCUCAGCGUGAGGGGGGCGGGGCC